rnacentral:tRNA from 1 species
GCAGUGAUGGUUCAGUGGUAGAAUUCUUGCCUUCCAUGUAGGAGACCCAGGUUCAACGUCAGGUCAAUACA